GGAAGUUGAAAUUCAAAUUCUACAAGUGAUAGGAAACCACUGAAGAUAUUUUAGCAGGGUUGCGAUGUCAUCUGAAGUUUUCCUUAGGACUUGAAGACAAGAGAAUGAGGGCGGUAAGAGAAGAAAAUAAGUGCAACAUGCCAGAAAUCCAGUAAAGCAGUUCAAGUAUCAGAAGAGCGUGAAUCAAAACCAAGUGCAAGAAGAGGCACCUUGACAUUGAACUGAAGGCCACCAGGUACUCACUGGGUCAAUGACUCUUCUCAUUUUUAUUCUCCUGCCAGUGCUUCCAAUCGCUGAACUGAACUGGGAACAAAUCAACAAGGGAAACCAAGAGAUGCAUUCCUUGAAGUUCAGCCUCCAGGCCUCAAGUAAGGCAGAGGAAGAGAAUACAUAGAUCUGUGGAGAAGAGUGGUGAUGGUGGGAGCUGCCAAUAAAGAACUAUCAAAAAAGACGAAGUCUUUGUCGUCCAGGCUAGAGUGCAGCUGUGUGAUCUCAGCUCAUUGUAACCUCCACCUCCUGAUACAAGCAAUUCUUCUGCCUCAGCCUCCUGAGUAGGUGGGACUACAGGAUGAUGCAACAGAAAAGCCGUCACCAGAUACCAGCACCUUAAUGUUGGACUUCUCAGCCUCCAGAACUGUAAGAAAUAAAUCCCUGUUCUUUAUAAAUUACCCAGUCUCAGGUAUCCUGCUAUAGCAGCACAAAAUGGACUAUGAUAGAAAAUUGGUAUGAAGGAGUAGUACCAUUGUUAUAACAAAUACCUAAAAAUGGAAGCCACUCUGGAACUGGGUAAGGGGUAGAGUAUGGAAGAAUUUAGAGGAGCAGGCUAGAAAAAGCCUAAAUUGCUGUGUAUUACUCCAGGAUGGUAAGAAAUAAAUCUCUGUUCUUUAUAAAUUGCCCAGACUCACAGCACAAAACAAAUUAAGACAUUAAGAUUUGCCCCAUUCUUAGAAUUCAUUUCUUCCAUUUUCCCUUUAAUUAAAUCAAUGCCAGCAUCUAAGCAGUGUGCACCUUUUGACCAUAGUCUUUCUAAUUGACCAGAAGCUUAGAUGUGGAAAAUGCAAAAACUAUGCACAUUUCUGAUGGGUUUAACUUCUGAGAAAUUUUUACAAGGUUUUCCUUAUUUUAUCUGCUCCAGUAAACCUGUGGUUUCAUGAACAGGCCUAGAAUUUGAGAUUCAGCUUCUAAACUUCAAAGGUGACCUUUCAACCCAUUUGUUUAUAGACUCGGUAUUAACCUUUUGAGUUCUAGAAUAGGGUUUUAGAACUUACUUUCAUAAAAGUUUAUAUAGUCAAUUCCAUUCAUUUAUGCUAAGGACAUAGAAUAUUUCUAGAUUGCACAAUAUGUUUCUGUGGGAAUUGAAUGGAAAUCCAGGUUUCCUGACAAGAAACAAAGGAUCUUUGGGAGGCCGAGACAGGCGGAUCACGAGGUCAGGAGAUCGAGACCAUCCUGGCUAACACGGUGAAACCCCGUCUCUACUAAAAAUACAAAACUUAGCCGGGCAUGGUGGCGUGCGCCUGUAGUCCCAGCUACACGGGAGGCUGAGGCAGGAGAAUGGUGUGAACCCGGGAGGCGGAGCUUGCAGUGAGUCGAGAUCACGCCACUGCACUCCAGCCUGGGUGACAGAGCGAGACUCCGUC
rnacentral:lncRNA from 1 species